rnacentral:lncRNA from 1 species
AUUGUUCUGCGCACACAAUUCAGCAAAAAGGAGAAAAAACACAGACAUGACCAUGGCAAUGGCAAUGGGGAGCACACUUAUCAUUCUCGUCCUUCUGAUUUCCGCCGUCGAAGCUGGCAGCAAUUCGUCGACCGAGGGCGUUUACUCGGAGCUCCUUGCAGGAGGACGGUGUACCGGAAAAGUGGGAGAGUGCAAUGUACAAGAGACGGAAUGGGUUGUGGACUCUGAAAUCACCCGGAGAUUACUGAAAAGAAAAGAUAGAUAUAUUAGUAGCAUCGCUGUAAGAAAUAGUGGUAGUAGUGUAUUGAAGAGUAAACGAACACAUUCUUAUACAUGUGCCGGAACUUACAGAUGUAAACCCCAUCAUUAGAUCUGUAAUUCAAAUUUCGACAUGAUUCAUCUACAAUUAAAAUUGACAGACUGAUUCUCUGUGACACANNNNNNNNNNNNNNNNNNNNNNNNNNNNNNNNNNNNNNNNNNNNNNNNNNNNNNNNNNNNNNNNNNNNNNNNNNNNNNNNNNNNNNNNNNNNNNNNNNNNCAAACUUGAUAAUUGAUACCUGUCAGAGCUUCACCUUCCCGCUGGGCAUUGUUGCCUGUACUCGACGGAAGAAGGUCGUUUAGAGGUUUGAUUGGAGACAUACGUCAAAUUAAUAUUACUAUUGUUUGCGACAUAAAAUCUAUAGGUCUGUUUAAUCACUGUAAUGAUGAUUUUUUUUAGAAUUGAUAAAAAAGUUAAUGUGUUAAAGAGAUUGGAAAAGUUAAUAACGAGGUCUGUUUUUAAUUUUAUUCAUAGAUUUCUUGAUAAAAUCUUAAUCGGGUAGAGAUAGAUCCGCGUAAAUAUCGACCAAUAAUUUACAUAAAAAAGUUGCAGUCUUGCAGAGCUAAUGCCAUACUUUGUUCGUAGUUUGCAGAGCUUAAAUCUCUGAUCUUUAUCCUCCUCUCGACUUCUCCUCCCUCUUCUUCCGUCGAAAACGAAAAGGGUAAGUAAAUAAUCUCUUUUCCUUCUUCUUCUUGGGUUUUAGUUUUUUCUUACUGUUUAUACAAUCGAUUUCGUGUUCUUGGAUUGUUUCUUGUUUUAAUUUAAACCCAAUUCCACUCUCGGUUGGCAUACGCUAAUUUAUCCCAUCUUCUUUUUCGAUGAAUGGAAUGUGGGUUUGGGCACUUCUUUCCACCCUUUACUAUUGAUCUUCUGAUUCUUUUGAUCUGGCUGGUUCUCAUGUACGCUCUUUCUUGGGUUGUGGUGGAUGAUUGAUGUUAUUUUCUUUUCUUUUUUAAAAGUAGUCAACUAUUUCCCUCUUUUGAUAAUUAGUCUAGAACCCUAAAUCUUAGUUACAGCCAUAAACCCUAGUAAUUUGCAUUAUUUUUAAAUUUUGUGGCAUCUUCUUCUAUACGUGUGUUGUUUUGAUUUUAAGAGAUGGGUGUCAAUUACCAAAGAUCAUUGAAGAUUUAUUGCAAAUUACAUCCAAGUUGGUCAGGAUUUUGGUCAAUUGUUUUUAGGAUUUUGGUCAAUUGUUUUUAGGAUUUUGGUUUCAGCUAUGUGGUGACCAGGCAAGAAAAAUUUGUGUUUUGUUUUUCCUUAUCUUCUAACAGUCUUUAUUCUCCCCCCCCCAUACAUUAGUUUCUAUGUUUCAAAGUCUUAUUUUUUUGGGCAGAAACUAAAACCCCUACACUAGUUGGGAAGUUUAUAGAGGUUGGCUGAAAAAUGUCUGAGAUCGAACAAGAUACCCAAUUGGCGACCUCGUCUAAGAAAGAUGCCAAUGUUUCACCACCAUCGAAAAUGGUGUUUCUUCCUAACUCUCGUCGGAAUAAGAUACUUCCUCCUCCAAUCAAACUUCAUGAUCAGGAAGAAGAGAAACAGGGGAUGAAUCCUAACAACAUGUGGCAGGUACAUUCCAUUUUAAACACACAAGUAUGUAGACUGUUUUCAUGGACUCUCUUAGUUUACGAGGUCGAGGAUGGUUUUACCCUUUUUGAUCCUCAACUCAUUUCGCAAACUGAACUUUAAUAUCAUGUGAAUAUUAGUCACCACCAGCAUGUUAUAAAUUCAAAUCGAAUUACAAGCUAGCAUUGAUUUUUUUAUAAAUUUCUCCAGGUUUUAGGGGAGUCGGGUUUGGUUCGGGUUAAACUCGAACCCGACCCAAAAAAAUCGGGUAAAAAAUACUCGGGUUCGAAAAUAUCGACCCAAACCCGGAACGACAUGUUCGGAUUUGACCCGACCCAUGCCCACCCCUAAUUACAUAAAUAACUUCCAAAUUGCAAAAAAUAAUUAAAAAAAAGAGGUUAAAUGUCAUAUCCUAUUUUCUUAAUGCACCAAAUUAUCACCACCACACAUAUCUCUCUACCUCCUCCUCAUUGUCACUUAUGAUAAUAUGGUCGACAAGAAGACGACAAUCGUGGCGUUCACCGUAACCCUAACCCUAAAUAUGAUCAACUACCUAAAGAUGCUUGUUUUAUCUUUAGUAAGAUCCUAGUCACUUCGAUGUCGAUUAAAUCCAUUUUUCUAAAGUUAUCUGUACAUGUUUUUUCAUUUAUUUUUCUUCAAAAAAAAUUUCAGUUAAAAAAUUAAUUUCAAAAAAGGAUUAUCUGAACUUAGGUUUAUCAAUUUAUUUUCAUUAUUUUAUUUUUAAAACUGACAUAGAAAGACAUUCAAUUGUUCAAAAAAAAUUACCACUAUAAUAGUAUUCAAAUUUUUUUCUUUCAGGAAUUUAUAGAUCUAGGUAACGAGAGUUGUACCUUGAUAUUGUUUGGAAAAGAAUUUAAUAACAACAAUGGUUUGAAAAGUAGUCAAAGACAAGUUUCAAUUGACAAUUGACAAAGGAAUUGUAGAGAAAAACUAAUUCUCUUUUUCAUAGAUUGCAUGAAGCAUGGUCAACAAGAUCAACGGUUGCGUAUUCUUUCAAAAGGUUCUCAUAAAGAAAUUACAUGUUAUAAGAAAUAUAUUACCAAUGGAUUUAGAUUUCAUUUGCAAAGUGAAGACAAAAACAAAACGUCACAAAACUGUGGUGUCAUGGUUCGUGGGACUUGUCUUAUAGAGAUAAUGGAAAUAAUUAUUAUGAAGUUCUUCAGGAAAUUCUCGAACUUGAAUUUCUGGGUGAUGAUACUUGAGUUUCGAUGUUUAACUGUAUUUGGUAUGAUAUUCACAAAGGAAUCAAAAUAGAUAAAUUCAAAACAGUGUCAAUUGACACACAUUCUAAACAAAAAACAUAUGAGCCGUUCAUUUUUUCUUGACAAUCUGAACAAGUUUGUUACAUACCGAAUGUAUCCGGAAAGUCAACCGAUUGGUAUACGGCGCUUAGAACAAAAGCUCGAGAUGUCAUUGACGUUUCAGAAAAAGAUUUAGAUAUAUAUCAAGACGAUUUUAAUGCAUUUGAUGUGAAUGUAAUCAACGAUGUCACGAUUGAUGAUGUAUCGUUGAGUGUAAAUGAUGUUCUUGAAGAAACAAAUGUCGAUAAUGAUAUUGAAUUAGAUAAUGUAGAUAUCGAAUCCGAUAAUGAAUUUAUAAGUGACGAAGAAGGAUUUUAGUGUGAUUGUAAGUUAGUUCAAAAUGUGAUGAUUUUUUAUGUUAUGUUUUUUUAUUGUUAUAGUUAAUAGAAUUAUGUCAUGAUUUUUUCCAGAAAUGGCACGUGGACAAGGACGUAAGCAUGGUCAAAUACGUGGACAACGACAAUCCGUCGACAAUGAAGUGGAAUCAGUUCGUCGGUGUACUAGAAAAUUUACAAAAAGAAUUCCAUAACCUUCAACACCAUUUCCUGGAGUAGUUUUUCAAUCUGGGUAUGUAGUUUAUUUCAAAAUUAAAUAAUUAUUUACUUUCUUUUCAUUAGAUUAAUUGAACUUACAAAAUAACUUACAGAACAUUUCCAAAUGAUAUACGAAAGCAAAUUGGUUGCUUGGUUAAAAGAUUUAUUUCAGGGGCAGAAUUCACAUGGGCUCAAUGGAGCGAUGAGGAUAAAGAUAUAAUUUGGGAAUUUUUUUUGGUAUGUUAUGUGAUUGUAUGUCUUUUAUGUGUUAAAUUUAUUUGAUUAUUUGAGAAAUAACUCGACAAUUUUUUUUGUGUAAAUUUUUUUAAAAUUUGAUGACCAAAACCGUGCUCGGAUUGCAUUCAAUCAGUACCUAACUAUUAAUUAUCUUAAAUUGCUUAGCAAAGCGAGAAAGAAUGCAAAAAACAGUGCUGGUGUCUCUGAACUUGAUGAGACUUGCAAAAAUUUCCCUCCAACAUACAUUACAAAAGAAAAAUGGGGAUUAAUGAUGGACAAGUUUUUGGCACCAGAGUGGAUCGGCUUUUUUUGAAGCCAACUUUCAUGCAUUAGUAAGUUUAAAUAUUAAAUUCAUUUCAAUUUAUAUAUUUUAUGAAUUUUUUAAACUAAUUUUUAUCGUAUAGAGUAUAAAAUUAGGUCGAAGACCUUCAUUUCAAGAGGCAUUUUUGUCAACUCAUACGCCAUUAAAUGAUAGAGGAAAAACUAUGAUGGUGAGUAAUCAUUUAUUAAUAUUUCAUAAUAUAUUUAUAUAUUUUUAAUUGUUUUAUAUUUGACUUUGGUAAAGGCUGAAUAUGAAAAUUUGAAUGAAGAGCUUCGAAGACAAGAAGAUAAUGAUUCUGAUUCUGAUGAAGAUAGCAAAGACGAAAAUUUAUUGUCUCAAGGUUCAACUUCAUUUCAUAAUAAGUGUCUUUUUAAAAACGAUCAUAUUGAACCUUGACUCAAAGCAUCAAAAGAAAAGAAAAAUGGUCGUAUUCUGGGAUUUAGAGUUGGCAAUAACUCGAUGUUAUCAAAUAAAAAGAGAAGAAAAAUGAGCAAUGAGAAAACUAAGAAGCAUAACACUGAAGAAUUUGAAUUGACAGUUUCCUAAACCGUUGAAAAAAGAAUGGAAGCGUUGGAAAUACAACACGAAAAACGUCUUCAAAUGAUGGAACAACAGUUAUUUGAAAAUAUUCAUGUGAGUUUAAUAAAUGUUUUUAAAUAAGUUUCUCAAUUAAUUAAUUUUUGAAUAUCUUCAUUUAUUUUCAGACUAAGUCUACAAGCAACGACCCCAAUCGUCCAUCAUCUAGUAAUGUUUCUACUAUUCCUGCUUCAUCUGAGUUGAACCAAAUUAUAUAUAUUUUCCUUUAUCGAGAAAUUAUUGGUGAUAAGGGUGAAACCCGACCAGUGCUCCAAGACGCUCCAACAAGCGUCAGGCGGGGAACUCCACGGGAAAUCGGACCGAAACUCAAGUGCGCAGAGCUUUGCUUCGUUAGGACUUCUCCACUCCAAAUGACCUGCCUUUAAUGAAUGGGGGUUGCCUCCUAUUUAUAAGGAUUUUUAUGGGGGUAAUCUGGUCAUUUGGGCAGUAACCGCCUAACUGAUCAGAUCGGGUCCCAAAGUCGACUUUCCAGAGAUCGACUUUCUUGGGAUCGACUUUUCUCAAAAGUCGAUUCCAGGGAAGUCGAUCCUUAGGAAAGUCGAUCUUCCUAGGAUUCGACUUGAGACCUCCCAAUCCCAGAAUAGGUACCUCAACUCAUCUCAGGCUAUCCGGACUUCUAGUUUCUGAUAAGUUGUGACCGGGUUCAGGAUACUGUAUCACCAAGAAAAAUAUAAUACUUUCAAAUCGACACCUCGAUCAAAGGGUAAGACUUUAGACAUUUCUAAUAUUGUUCAACAAAAAAAAUUGUAUAACACUUUUAACUCUAAUCAAAACAUCAUUUUUAUAACAUAUGAAUGUUGAAUCAAUAUGUAUUCCUUUUUUUGGUUAAUCUAAUUUGAUUUAUAGUAAAUGUGUGUGAUUGAAUAUGUGUGAUUAAAUGUAUAUUAUUUUCAGGUAUGAAUUGAGAUAUGUAAGGCUCUAAAUGAGCACCCAUUUAAAAUAAACUAUUUUUUUUAUUGUAUAAUAUUUUAGCGACGAUAUAGCAACGAUUAAACGACGAUUAGUUGAAACAGAUAACAUUAAAAUUUAAUAAAAGCGACGAUUUAACGACGAUUAGUUGAGACAGGGAACAUUAAAAUUUAAUAAAAACGACGAUUUAGAGACGAUGUAGCGAUGAUGUUUUUCAAAUAUUAGUGAUGAUUCAGCGAUAAUGAUAUUUUUAGGCACCAAAAAAAAACCCGCGCGUGGCCAUAUGUCAGCGACGAUGCUUCAUCGUCUCUUUUUUUUAGCGUCGAUGACCAAUAUCGUCGCUCAUUUUUCAGCGACGCGACCUACAACGAAACGAAGCUUUAGCGUCGAUCAAAAAUCGUUGCUGAAAGCAAUUUAGCGACGAUUUUCGACUUUUAGCGACGAUUGAUCGUGGCUGAAACGCAGGAAUCCUGUAGUGUCUUCUCUUAAUAAUGAUUUAGGUUAUCUGUUAACUAAAAUCAGUUGUGUAACUGAUUUUCCAGAGUUUUCACAAGAUGCGACCUCAUUGUGGGAAUUGAGGCUGAAUAUAUUAUGGAUGGAGGUGACUCACCGUCUAAAUAUAUUUUAGGUUGAAUAAAGACAAUUGUUUGAAGACCAUGAGCCCAAUCAAGAACUAUAUAUGCUAAAUAUUAUUCAAGAACUCUCCAAAAUUUGAACAUGUCAUUCUCAAUUUCUCAUGAUUCUUCAUUACAUUUCAUUAAUUACAAUUUACAAGCAUAUAUACAUAAAUAUUAUAUAUGUUUACCAAUGUAUACUUUUAAUUGCUGAAAGAGUUGUAUUAAUGUGUGGUAUACACAUCUUAAUGAUAUGAGGACUGUCAUAGAUAUUUAAACUUUCAAGUUUGGUAAACAUUCUUGGAAUAUAUGAUAGACGCAAAUUAUGGCAAUUCCAAAUUUCAAGUGUUGUUAGGGAAGGAAAAGAACAUCGGUCGAUUUCACACCAUUCCACCCAAUUUCCCAUAUCAUUAAAAAACAGCUUCUUCAACGAGAUAAACGAAGAAUUUGGCGGAUUUUCAACCGAAUUCCCCCCAUUAUAGAACUCAGCUCCGAUUCGUUUAAUAUUUUUGAGAUAAUAUAUGUUCAAUUCUUUGAGAGACACCAACUGCCCCAAUGGUGGAAGAAUUUCACAACUGAAGCAAUGAUCCAAUGCUACAUGAGUGAGCAUUGCGAAUUCCGAACAACCCAUCCAAUCUGGAAACUUAAGUCCACAAUAGAAACUUAUCUCUAAUUUGACAAGAUUGUUACAUGGUCUGAGAUUGUUCAGGACAUUGAUUUCAGAAACAUAUAAUUCAUCGAUAAAUUUCCAUGUUAAAUUUAGCUCUCUAAGAUACUGCUUCUCAAACAAAUUUAUCGUAUUUUUCUCUUCAGAUAAGUAUUCAUGCUCAAUCUCAUUCAAUGCUAAAGAACCACUGAGUUUUGAUAAGUUUUCCAAUUCUGACAAUCCUCCACAACCCUCUUCUUCAUUUGACAUAGAUAAUUUUGGUAAUGUUUGAAGUUGAAUCAAUUCUCCAAAUCCAACAGGAAUAUACACAAAAUUGACACAAAUGAUGUGUAGUAGAUUUCUUAAUUUCCGAAUAUUUUCAGGUAACUCCACCAACCAAUCACAAUGUAAUGUCUGAAGAUUGUAAAGAUUACAAACUGAUUCAGGCAAGCAUUCUACAUUAGGUGUAUCCAAUUUAAGAAAACGUAAGUGUUUUAAUUCACCAAUAGAAUCUGGUAUAUGUGUUGCAACAUCAUUUGCCCAUAUAAAUACCCUCAAAUAUUUCAGACUCAGAUGAAGGCUUUCAAUUUCUAUCUGAUUAGGAGAUGGGUACAAAGAGUGAUGGAAUGUUCUUCCAGCAAUGGGCUCAAUGCAACAAAACUUAUCUUGUAUUAUUCCACAAGACUGUUAGAGAUCAACAAAUUUUCUUCUCUCAGUAUGUGUUGUGCUAGAUCAUGCAUUAGAUCAUGCAACACAUAUUUCAAUUCUCCAAAAUUAUCGUACUUUGUUUGGAGAAACGAUCUAUUGAACAAGCCAUCGACACAUUCACCUAAUGGUAUAUAUUCUAAGAUACCAUGCGCGCCCCAUAAAUGUACCAAAUCGUCUCGACUAAAUAGAUGAUCUUUGGGAAAAACUGAGCAAUACAAAAAACACCGCUUCAAAGAAGUUGGGAGAUUAAUGUAGCUCAAAUUUAAGGUUUCGAAGAUUGUAUUUUCGCCAUUUUUACCCAUGAUUUCCAUUGUAUUUUUUGCGAGUACCUCCCGCCACCGUUCUUCAUCUCCGUUUGCAUCCCUCAAAAGGUUUCCAAGAACCUUGAUAAUCAAUGGCAAGCCUUUACAUUUCUCUACGAUCAUCCUUCCGAUACAUGUCAAUACUUGAUUGUCCUCAUGGACGGAGCCAUAUAAUGCAUGAUUUCUAAACAACUCCCAUCCAAAAUUGAAUUGUAAAGGUCCCAAAUUGAAAUCCAGUGAUCUAUGCAUUGUUCGAGCUACAACUUUGCUUCUUGUAGUCACUAGAAUUUUACUGCCUGAAGAACCCAAGUUAUGCAGAAAACCUAAUGUAUCUGAAACAUGUUGGAUUUCGCUCCAAACAUCAUCUAACACCAACAAAAAUACUUUCCCCUCUAAUUCAUUUUGUAAUUCUUCUUGGAUAACACUGAAAACAGUGAGAUCACAUCCUUCUCCCGUCAAAGAAAUCAAAGUAUCUUUACUGAUCUUAUCGAUCUGAAAAUCAUCUGACACACAAACCCAAGCUUUACAAUCAAAAUACGAAGAUAUAUUUUCAUCUUUGUAUAUUUCUUGGGCAAUACUUGUCUUUCCAACACCUCCCAUUCCCACUAUGUUGAUUAUUGUCACAUUUGUCUCUUCUUGGUUUUGUUGAUCAUUAGGUUGAAUUAACAUAUCCACUAUAUGUUUCAUAUCUUCAUCUCUGCCAUACAUCAAAUGUUCUUCAUUCAGUGGGUUGCUUGGUGGUCUUAAUUGAACAUAAGUUUUCUUCUCAAAAUCGUUUUUCGAAAGAUCGAGUUCUCGCUCUUUAUUGAUAUUUUCAAAGUCGGCCUCCAUUUCAUUCAAAUUCUUUAAGAUGUAGUUUAAGAAUGAUGUUGAUAUUGUUGAAUGUUCUUGUUGCUCUUGAACAUGUUGAUAAUUAUACUCUUCAAUAAGAUCCUCAGCUUUAGCAGCAAAUAAUUUUAAUUGGUAAAGCCAAUACUUUGUCGCUUUUUUUUCGAUCACCCAAUUUUCUUCUGCAUCAUAUAGUAAAUGGUUUAUUAUGUUCCAGCGAAAUCUCAAUUUAUCCACGCCAUCAUUUAUUUUCUUUUGCAAUUUCUGAUCCACCAUGAUUUCCUUUUGACCUUAAGAAAAUAAAAUAAAAACAAUAUUUUUAAUUCAAAAGAAGUAAAUUAUGCAAUAUGCUGCAAAUUUAAAUCUUACUUAUUUAUAAUGGAAAAUAUUCAGGUGUGCUAUCAUAUUUACGCUGUUGUGCGGCAAAAACAUCCACAACACUCAAUUGACAUCUAACGAUCUUAAUUAUGUUAUUUAUUUAAAAUUAACUUACGUACGAUGUCCAAUUAUGUUAUGCACUUAAAACUAACUUACGUACGACAUUUAAAAAAAUAUUAAACAUCCAAUGGUGGAUAUCAAAACGGCGCAUAUAACGCAUUUACAUAAGGUGCACAUGAAGUGCGUCCUAUUUAUAAUAAUUCUUAUAUAUAUGCACCGAUAUUAUUGGAACUCAUUCCAUUGAACUAAACAUAUGGUUCUAAAGUAUAAUUUGUAGUAGAAGAAAACAGCUCAAACCAUAAAUAAAAUACUUCUGAAGAUUUUUUGUCACCUAGUCAGGGGUGUGAGCAAAAUACCUCUAAAGAACUUUAAAACAUCUGGUCGGAGGAGUUGUAAGAAAAUUAUCCCUAAAGAUUUUGUGUCACCUAGUCGGGGGUGUAAUUGCAAAAUACCUCUGAAGAAUUUAAGAAUAUCUGGUCAGGGUAGUGUAGGCAAAAUACCCUUGAAAAAAUUAAGAAUACCUGGUCAGGGGAGCAAAAUACCCUUGAAGAUUUUUGAACACUUGGUCGAGGGGUGUAAGCAAAAUAACCCUGAAGAUUUUGUAACACCUAGGCAUGCCAAUCGGACAUAAUUCAAGGGUAUUUUGCUUAUACCCCUAUAUCUGAAUUCGAAUUCGUUUAGUAUCCAGAUAAUCCGAAUUCGUUCGAUUAUUAUUCGAAUUCGGUUCGCGAAUAACAUUUACAAAAAAAUAAAAAAAUAAAAUUUUAUUUUUUAAAAUAAAAAACCCAUGUAAUAUUUUAAACACAACAUUUUAACAUAUAAAUCCAGUAUAGAUUAUAUUAUAUUAGAAAAUGUAAAAAAUAGAAAAUUAUUAUAUAUUUAUAAUACUUAUAAUUCGGAUAAUUAUAAUACUUAUUAUCUUAAAUUUAUCCGAAUUCGUUUAGGUGUAUUCGAAUUUGAAUUCGUUUAGCUUCAAAUAUAUCCAAAUUCGAUUAAACUUAAACGAAUUCAAAUAUGAAUUUCGGAUAUCCAUUGACACACUUAGUAAUACCUUGUUAGAAGGUGUAAGCAAAAUACCCCUGAAGAUUGAAAACUUCACCAAGUUAAGGGGUGUGAGCAAAAUACACCUAAUAAGAAAUUUCACACCAAUUCAGGGGUUGUAAGCAAAAUACCCCUAGUAGGCAUCACAAAUAACUAGUGGUGACACGAGAUCCGUUUGGAUCGAUCGCACCAACGGUAAGAAAUAAAUUCCACCGUUUGGAGACGGUAGCAGAAGGGAUACUGGUGGUGAUACGAGAUCUAUUAAGAUCACAUCACUAGUAAGUGCAAAAAAUUUCUAAAGCGCCAAAAAUAGUAGCAGAAGGAGUACUAGCUAGGAGUGAUACGGGACCUCCUUGAGCUGUCGUAUCACCAAUAAGAGAUAUAUUUUUGAAAGAUCCUGAUGGUACCCCCAAUCCAUCAGCCCAGGCCCACGAAGGAGUCCAGAAGCAAGGCUCAGCGAAGUGAACAAAAGAGGAAGAUCCAAGUCGCCUCACGGGCACUCGCCCGACCGGGCCGACCGGACGGACCCGUCAGCCCAAACGGUUAUCUCUCCAAAGGUUGCGCCCCAAGUAUGUCGGGUCCUUUAGACCGGAUCCUAGUCCGAAAGCGUAGGGUCUAGAGUCCGGUAGAAAAUUGUAUAAAUACCCCUAAGGGUGAAAUGUAAAAGGGGGGAGAAAAACAAUUGUUAUUAUACUUGUAAUAUACGAGAUCAGUCACCUUUCUAGAGGGACGCGAUCAGUGGUGAACCUGACGUGAAAUGGAUUCAGAACAACUAGAGCGGAUAAUUCAGAUGGAGGAAAACUUAGAAAUCUCGGUGGUAGAAGCGCGCGAAAAUCGACUACCAGCCGUUCCUUUGGAAAAUCAAGUUGCAGACGAACCGACGCACUUGGAAGAGAAUAUCGAAGAGGCGCCCUAUCACCCUCAACAGCAAACGUGUGAGGACCCUCGGCUAUUUGUAGGGUCAAUGCCAGAGGAUGGUAUUUCUGCAAGUUGGUCGGAGCAAAGCCGGUCGAGAUCACCGGAGCAAUACAGAGGUGACCAGAGGGAAUAUGGGAGAACAUUUCCCAUGCCACGGGGAUCAAGGGAGAGUCAAUUCCUAACAGUCAUCUCAGAUUUACAAAAUAAUCAAAGGCAACUUCAAGAGCGAAUUAUGUCAUUAACAAACAGGAAUAUACACGGAAAUAUGCCCAUACGGCCGUCGGUUAGAUAUCUGAUUUAACCGACGCCAACGGAUAGUGAGGAGGCUCUAGCGCGACAUCUUUUAGUGGAGGGGUACCCGACGGGGUGGAGGGCCCCAAAAAUGACAUUAUAUGAUGGUACGACGGAUCCGGAAGAUCAUGUUCACUCAUUCCGUACGGAAAUGGAGGACACUACAGGGCGAAGAGACAUUUGGUGUCGCAUGUUCAGAAAAACGUUGAAAGGAGAGGCAGUGGGGUGGUACAGAAACCUCCCCGUGGGAAUCAUUAAUUCAUUCAAAGACCUGGAAAAAGUGUUCAAAAUUGCCUUCGGGCAUAAAAUAAGGCGGAAGGGAUUAAAUACAACUUUGUUAACAGUCGUACAAGGAGACCGAGAGUCAACACGGGAAUAUAUGGAUCGAUUUGCGGUUGCAGUUCAAAAAGUCGUUUGUUCAGAAGAAGGAGUCCUGAUGACACUAGUUAAUGGACUAAGGCCAACUAGAUUCUCAGGCGAUUUAGUACGAAAUCUUCCAUCAACAUUUGCAGAAGCUAUGGAAAGAUCGUAUAGGAAGUCAAACGUGGAGGACUACCAUGAGACAAAAUACAAACAAAUACGUCAAAGGCCAAAAGGCCAGUACGACCAGAAUAUACAGCAAAAGCAGCCAAGACUGAAAACCCGGCCACAAAAUAGAGAGGUACCGGAGGGUAGCGCAUGAGGGGGCACUUUCCCAAGGGAAUGUUUCACUAAUUAUGGUCCGCCAAGGGUUACCCCACUUCCAAACCAACGACAGGUAUUUUUGGCACUAAGGGAUGAUCGGAUGCUUCCAGAGCCGCGUCCAAUGCGUACGGAAACAACGGUUCAUCGAAAUCCACAUUUGUAUUGUGAAUAUCAUGAGAACAUAGGACAUACUACGGCCUAGUGCUAGAUUUUGGCAAGAGAACUUGAGAAAAUGCAGGGACGGCAAGGCUCACUACCCGCACGACAAAGGAUACCUUCUCCUCCACCACGACGGGCAGUACCGGCACCCACAGGACAUCAAGACCAUAGGGACGAUCAGGGAGGAAGGAAUAUAGGCGAAAUAUUGGCGAUAUCAGGUGGAGAGGCAGCCAGAGGAGGAACAAGAUUCGAAGGAAAAAGGUAUGCACAGGAUCUUAGCCGGACGGAUGGAAUUAAAAAAAUCAAAGCAUGGGAAGACAUUCGUUUUUCGAAUGAAGAUCUGACAGGAAUCACAGUCCCACAUCACGACCCGCUGGUUAUAACACCUAUUGUACAAAGGGAGGAUAAACAAAAAAUUAGAUUGAACAGAGUACUAGUGGAUACAGGGGCUUCAGUGGAUGUGCUGUACUGGAGUGCAUUUGAUCAACUUGGAUUUUGCAGGGCAGACUUAGGUCCGUGCGGCACACCGGUUACGAGAUUUGGCCAAGGAAAAGUCCAAAUAUUAGGGACAAUAGAUAUCCCGGUAACAUUGGGAAGGUUUGCGCAGGAAACAACAGUGAUAGUAAAAUUUUCGGUGGUGCCAUUUUCAUCCGGGUAUAACGCAAUACUAGGCAGGAUAGCAUUACAUGCAUUUGGAGCGGUAACAUCAUCCCUGCACCAGUGUUUAAAAUUUCCAUCAGAAGCAUGGAUAUGCACAGUUAAAGGGUCACAGAAAAAAGCAAGAGAAUGUUAUAUAAAUUCGACGGGGCAAGUAAUGACUGCAGCAGGGGGAAAAAAUAGACUCCCAUAUACAAUUAGGGAGGAACGCCCAAAACUCGAGCCUGCUUCGGACACAGUUGCAAUAGAACUAAGUGGUGGCAGUGUACAAAAAGGGGCCGGCCUCCCGCAAGAAAUAAAAAAUGGUAUUAUAAAGCUACUCAAAGAGAACGAUGACUUGUUCGCCAGGGAUGUAGCAGAACUUAAAGGGGUUGUGCGGAGCCUUGCGGAACAUAGAUUAGCGGUAGGAAAACAUGUGCGGCCAGUGAGGCAGAAAAUAAGGUCGUUACGAGGAGACAGGAAAGAGGCGGCGGCUGAGGAAGUACGAAAACUUAUCGAGGCAAAUUUCAUUAGGCCAGUGAAAUACCCGGAAUGGUUGUCAAACGUAGUAAUGGUAAAAAAAGCAGAUGGAGGAUGGAGAAUGUGUGUAGACUUCACCAAUGUAAAUAAAGCUUGCCCUAAGGAUUCGUAUCCACUCCCAUCGGUGGACCACUUAGUAGACCAAGCGUCGGGGUGUGAAUUGCUCUGUUUCAUGGAUGCACACUCAGGCUACAAUCAGAUACCUAUGGCCAGGAAGGAUGAGGAAAAGACAUCUUUUAUAUCAGAAUCAGGUACCUUUUGUUUCAAAGUAAUGCUUUUCGGAUUACGUAACGCAGGAGCAACUUUCCAGAGGGCUAUGGACCAAAUAUUUAAACAUCAAAUCGGAAGGAAUCUUGAGGUAUAUGUGGAUGAUAUCCUAGUUUGUUCCAAGACAGUUGCAGAGCACUUAGCAGAUCUAAAGGGGACUUUUGAUAGUAUUAGGAAGGCGGGCUUACGAUUGAAGGCAAAAAAAUGCUCCUUCGGGGUCACCGAAGGGCAUUUUUUGGGUUUCAAAAUAAUUCCCAACGGGAUAAAGGCCCGUACGGAAAAAAUCGAGGCUAUAAUGGCAAUGACUCCGCCAAGGACAAUAAAAGAAGUCCAGAAACUUAAUGGAAAAGUAAACGCAUUGAGUCAAUUCUUAACAAGGUGGGCAGACACAUUACAACCUUUAUUCAAAUUAAUAAAAUCAUCAAGUCCAAGAGUGACAUGGACGGAAGAAUGCGAGGAAGCGUUUCAAAGACUUAAGGAACAAUUAAGGAAUCUGCCAACUUUGCAGCCACCUUUCUCAGGAGAACCAUUAAAAUUGUACAUAGCCGCGUCCGAUAAUGCUACCAGUGCAGUUUUAAUGACUGAAAGAGAUGGCACACAACGACCAAUUUAUUACUAUUCCCGCACUUUACAGGGGGCAGAGAAAAGGUAUCCAAAAAUUGAGAAGUUGGGAUUAGUAGUGGUAACAACAGCAAGAAGGCUAAAACCUUACUUUCAGGCACACCCAAUAACCAUCCCGACGGAAUUUCCAUUGUUACAAUUGUUACAUAGACCAGAUGUGUCGGGCAGAUUAACGAAAUGGGUUGUGGAAUUAAGUGAAUUUUAUGUAAAUAUAGUACCAGCGAAAGCGAUCAAAGGGCAAGUAGUUGUUGAUUUCUUGGCAGAAUUUACACCAAGUAUAGAAAAGUCUGAAGGUUAGUGGAUCAUUCAUAUUGAUGGGUCGGCAAGCAACUCGGGAUGCGGAGCAGGCGUAACAAUCCAAACCCCAACAAAAGAAAAGGUGGAGCAUGCAAUAAAUUUCGAUUUCAAAACAACAAACAAUGAAGCAGAGUACGAGGCACUAUUAGCAGGGGCAUGACUGGGAAAAGAAUUAGGACCCAGACGGGCAAAAUUCCAUACGGAUUCACGAUUAGUGGCAAACCAAGCAACGGGGAAUUCGUAUCAAAAGAAGAAGGGAUGUGUCGGAACACAAAGGCAGCACACAACAUGAUGUAAUUUUUCACAGAAUGAGAACUACAUCACAUAAGCCGUAUGGAUAAUAAAGAAGCAGACAUUUUAGCAAGGUUGGGUGCAUCUCCAAAUGUGCCGAGGGGACAGUGGAUCCGAGUGGAACAGCAAGAGGCACCAUCAAUAACAAAAAUUGAGAGAAAUAAAAUUCUAACACUGGCAGUAGAAGAAGAUUGGAGAACACCGAUAAAAAACUACAUUACAAAGGGAAUAAUCCCGACGAACGCGAUGGAAGAAAGAAAACUGAAGAAUAAGGCAUCCUGGUUCACAAUAGCAGGGGACAAUCUUUUCCGUAGGGCAGUAGAGGAUAGCAUUCCCUUACGGAUUUGCGUAACACGCGAAGAAGGAAAAGAAAUACUAACGAGUGCACAAGGGGAGCGUGCGGUCUACACCAGGAUGCCAGGAUAUUGGGAAAGCAGGUAGCAAGGCAGGGCUACUAUUGGCCACAAAUAAAUAGAGACUCUGAAGAACUGGUAAGAAAUUGCAACGAGUGUCAAAAACAUGCAAAUAUCCAAAGAAGGCCAUCCAGCAUAAUUAAUCCAGUUACCACACCAGUACCAUUUGCCCGAUGGGGAUUGGACAUCGUAGAGCCUUUCCUAGUAGCAUCAAGGGGUCGGAAAUUUUUAUUUGCCGCGGUCGACUACUUCACCAAAUGGGCCGAAGCUGAGCCAACAAGCACAAUAUCAGAACAGAAUGUCAUUCAGUUCAUCUUUAGAAAUAUCAUCUGCAGAUUCGGGGUCCCGUUACAAAUAAUAACAGAUAAUGGAACGCAGUUCACAGGGAAAAAAGUGAGGAAAUUCUGUGAAGAUAAUGGUAUAAAAAUGAGUUUUGCUCCGGUAUAUCAUCCACAAGCAAACAGGCAAGUCGAAGUUACAAACCGGACAAUAACAUCUAUACUUAAAAGAAAAGUAGGAGACAACCCAGGAACAUGGGCAGAUUUAAUACCAGAAACAAUGUGGGCAUACAGAACAACCGUACGUACACCGACGGGACAUCCACCAUUUACUUUAGCAUUUGGAAUAGAUGCAGUGGCCCCAGCAGAGGUGAUAUGGCCAACAGCAAGAAUAGCAAAUUUUAAUCCAAAAGAUAAUAAUUUGGCCAUCUUACUAGCCAAAGAAAGGUGUGAGGAGUUGUGAGAAAUCGUAGCAAUAAGAGAUUUGACUUACAAAAGGAGGGCAGCACGAUACCAUAAUCAAAAGGUAAAUGAAAAGAAAAUAAACUUAGGAGACCUGGUACUAAGGAACGGAAGAAUCACUGGACUAGACCAAACUAAAGGAAAGUUAUCUCCAAAGUGGGAAGGGCCGUACGUAGUCAUCGAGGAGGUCCGCCCGGGAAUUUACAAGUUAGCAUUCGAGGAUGGUCAGGAAAUAGAAAGAACUUGGCACUCGGACAAUUUAUCAAGGUAUUUUCAAUAAAGCAAUUGUAUAUAGUGAACAAAAAGUUUUAGGGCAAUUUUUAUUUUAAACAAGUUAUUUUACUAAAGCAAGACCUCCCGCCAAAGUAAAAAAGCCUUAGAGCAGUAAGGCCAAAGGAGGCCUCCCUACAAAAUAAAGGCCGUAAGGAAAUAUCAACGAAAAUAAUAAAAAAAAAUUGUCAAAAAGCGCGAAUGAAUGGGUCAAAAGUACCUUAGGGCAAUUAUAAUUACACCAAGAGAACACAUAUGAGUAGACAAGAAGGACAAGGAAAGAUGAAAGGAAAGUAAAAGUUAAAACCAAAAGUACGAAACAAAAAUUCAAAGUACGGAACAAAAGGUAUGUUUCUAUUUGUUCUUUUUUUAAAAUAAAAUAUAAAACUACUGGUCUCCUUCACCUGAAAGCUCGGAGAGAGUCUUGGGCCAGGCAGGGUGUUCCGUAGGGAUUCCGUCCACUUUCCACUGCUCCCACAUUGGUGGGUUAAUAGAAACAACAGUGGACUCGUAUUCAGGACUCCGAAGAUUCACCAUGUCCCGCUCAUGAAUCAUGCCUUCAACAAAAUUUUUAAAGCAAGCACGCUUGUUUCGUUCGGUCACAGUCUUGACACGUUCGGUCACAGUCUUGACACGUUCGGUGAAUCUAACCUUGGCACUUGAAAUAUCCUUUUCCAUGGACACAAUCCGGGCGGCCUUUUCAUCCCUCUCUACCCUAAGGGUCUCGUUCUCAGCUUCCUUCAGAGUAAGUGCCUUGGUCAAGCGAGUAACUUCAUCCAAAGCGUCAUUGAGUUCACGCGUCCGUUGGACACCCCUUUUCUGCCGAUGACGCUACAUAGCCACAGUCUGAAGAGCUCGAAUGUAGCAUGCUUCAUCGAUAUCAUCAGUGUUAGUCUUUUCCAGGGUCAUCCAGUCAGCCUCCUUUUCGACCAAGGAAUCCAAUUGGCCAAGUGCCUGUUCGUAAAUCCCAGCAAUCCGGGGGGUUUGCAUGUGUUCGGCCACAAUCAAGCGGUCUCCGGGAUUUUGGCCACUGGCAACUACGUCAUCAGAGAAAUGGAUGUACUUGGUGACAUCAUCAGAAAGGGCGUUGGAAGAAUCACCGGCGUUGGAAACCGUUUCCGUACGGGCCCUCUUGCCGCCUCGCUGCGAUCCGGAUCCUGCAAACAAGCCCGACAAACCUCCCUCGUCAGGUUCGCCUGAAAAAGAAAAGAAAAAUUAACAAAAUUGGAUGUGAAUUACCAGAGGAGACGAGAUGCGGGUGAGUAGAUUUCCAAGUCCCGGUCAUCAAACUAGAAUAUUCGAUGAGACUCGAACGAACAGUUAAGAGACGGGAGUACACAUCACGUUCCUCCGGAGAAAGCUCCCCUACGGAAGAGCUCCCAGCGCUAAAGGAAGAGGUGUUUACCCACCUGGAGGGGACUCCUGACAAUCCUACAAAGGUGCUCUUUACAAAGAAAUAACGGUUUUUCCACUGGUGCGAACGAUCGGGGUAGGAGUCGAGAAGUUUAUUCCUUAUUCUAGAGGAAACUAAUAGCCGUGCGGAAUUAGGCCGAGAGAUAGAGAAAAACAAGCGAAAAACACGUUCGUAGGGCUCAAGGUGCAGUUCAUAACACAAGCGCUCAAAUGAAACAACACGGUCAAGGCUAGAGGGGGAAAGCUGAGAAAUAGCGACGCAUGUAUAUGAAAGAAAAGAUAAAAGAAAGGGAGAGGCGGGAAGCCGAAGCCUUAGGUCCUCAAAGCCGGAGUAGAGGGUAGUAUAGCUAGUGGGAGGCGAAGAGGCAAGAGCGUCGUUGGGGAUCUCAAGGUGAGCUAUCGCCACAGAGGGAGCAAUCAACUGAAAGUGACGACGGGCCUGCCGCCUACUAAGAACGGAAGGGGGAUCUUCAGAAGGAGUUAGAGAGUUACCGUUAAAGCCGGGCAUAUCGUCUAGGAAAGAAUUGAGAUCGGCCAUAGAAGAGGAUACGGCGAUCAGCGGAAGAAAAACCCUACCUCUGAUAAGAAAAAAAGUGAAGAUAAGUGAAAGUAGAUUAUAUAUAGAAGAAUUUUUGGCGGGAAAUCAAAAAUAUUCCUAGAAGGUAAAAUUUCAUACCCAAGGGCCAGAUGGACCGCACGGAAGGGUAAGUACAUUUUUGUCCAGGUGUAGUCAGUCCGGAUACUUGAGGGAGGUGUGGCAAAAUGGCCGUAGGGAAGACACCUGAAGGGAGGCAACCAUAUAUAAAAAACUAGUCCCAUCAGAAUAGGCGUCACAAGACUCUAAGGAAAAAUAGUAGAAGGAAUACCUGCUCAAAUGGCCCGUAUGGGAAACAGACGUGGGGAACCAGGUAGUCGUAAGGUCCGAAGGAAAUAAUAACACAGUCAAAAUUUGAAGGGAGUUGCCAGAUCCCUGAUCAUCAAGUAGUUACAUUCGACAAACAAAAAAAAACUACUUGAAGGAAGAAGAAAUUGUUGAGAAAAUAAAAAUUACUUCAGUGCGUAAGAUAAACACAAACGAGUUUGCAGGAAUCAUGGGAACAACUGCAGGGAACAAAAGAAACAUUCAAAUACAUAAAAAAAAGAGGGGUGGACACAAGGCCCCCCGGGAAAAGAAUAUCAAAGAAGCCCGUCAGGGCGGGCCGCGGGAGAGGAAAUGACGUAGGUCACUUGAAGGAAGGCCAGAGCGUUCGGCACGUGGUCCACGUCCCCGACGACGACGAGCAGCAGGUACGGAAGAACGCCCAGUUGAAAAAAGCUCAGUAGCGGCAGUUGCAGGGACCUCGUUGGGGGGGGAGCAGUUGCGGGAAUCACGCCAGGGACAACAGCAGGGACAGGAAGCCCGGGAGGAGCACCAGUGGCAGGUUGACGGUUUCUUGGAGCGGUUGUCAUCGCUGGAAUGACGAUACCGGUUCCGUUGGAGACUUGCCAGAGAGCACGAAUGCGGUGUUGGACCUCCGAAACCAAAUGAGACAGACGGGGAUUACCUACAGCAAAAUCCUGGAUAUCACAAAGGUGUUGAAGAAGAUCAUCUGGCCAAACAGCUCGCUGACGCGCCAACUCAGAUCCUAGUUCCUCCAACAGAUCAUCAAGAAAAGACAUGAUAAAUGAGGAGAAAAUGAAUCAAAUAAAAAAAAGCAACCUAUUUAUAGGAUAGGAGGAGGGGGGAGUACUGAUGGUACCCCCAAUCCAUCAGCCCAGGCCCACGAAGGAGUCCAGAAGCAAGGCCCAGCGAAGUGAACAAAAGAGGAAGAUCCAAGUCGCCUCACGGGCACUCGCCCGACCGGGCGGACCUGUCAGCCCGAACGGUUAUCUCUCCAAAGGUUGCGCCCUAAGUAUGUCGGGUCCUUUAGACCAGAUCCUAGUCCGAAAGCGUAGGGUCCAGAGUCCGGUAGGAAAUUGUAUAAAUACCACUAAGGGUGAAGUGUAAAAGGGAGGAGAAAAACAAUUGUUAUUAUACUUGUAAUAUACGAGAUCAGUCACCUUUCUAGAGGGACGCGAUCAAAUCCUAAAAGUGGUAGCAGAAGAAACAAGGAUGGUGACACGAGAUCUCGUAGAGAUCACACCAUCAGAAAAAAGAGCUUCCCAGAGCGCCUAGAAUGGCAGUGGAAGAUGCGCCGAUGGUAGCACGGGAUCUCGUUGAGAUUGCACCAUCAGCAAGAAAAAACUCCACGGAGCACCUAGUAUUGCAGCGGGAGAAGAGCUAGUGGAGACAUAGAGGCACGAAUAGCCACACAACUAGCAGGGCAACCCCCGAAGGAGUACAAGUGUCGAAAGAAGAAGAAGUACUGAUGAUACGAGAUCUUGCAUUCAGAUCAUCAAUACUUCUUUCGAUGUUCGAGAAGCUUAGUAUUAUGGAGAUAAGAUGUGUAAUAUGGAUAUUGUGGAACUACCAUCCCCGGCCCCAAGCCUCGAUCGAUGGGGACACCAUUUGAUUACGAUGAUAAAUUCGCUUCUAUAAUGUUAGAAUUACUAUACUUUAUUGAUGCAGCCGACCAAGCCCACUAAUAUACUUGGACUCUUAGUGUGGAAUUUCCACUCAUACACCCUAAGAGUAUAAAUGGGAGUACGUGGAUGGGCAGAUGGACAGUUAGUUGAGAUUUAACCUAAAAAUUAAAAGGUGAUCUCCAACUCUUAUUUCUCUCUUUCUUCUACUUUAUUUCGUGAAUAAUUAAUACUACUGUUACAUCGAUUAUUUCCUGGAUUGGAAAUAACGAGUAUUGAAAUUGAUUAUUCCGGUGGAUUCCAGGAAUAAUCAAUCUGGAAAACGUUCUCAAUCACUGUCCGAUUCAAAACUGUUUCUUUUAUUCCCGUUAAGCUCUACGUACAUAAUUUAUUUAGGGAUUAGAUUAUCCAAUUUAUCAUUUUUGCAUCAUGACCAAACUCAUAUGAUGAGUAAAGCUCAAUAUAUACACAAGAUUACCAAAGUUCAUUAUCAUUCAAUUAUGUUAAUAUCUCAAUAUUAUUGUAAUUAAAUAUAUUUUUGACCCAUAAUUUCAACACUAUAGACAUAAGUAUUGAUGAUGUAUGGCCAGAAAUGAGCCUAUACAAUUGGAUUAAGAUUCAGUCCCUCUCUCUCUCUCUCACUCUCUCUCUCUCUCUAGUAUAUAGUACAUGUAUUCAAUGUAACGUGUCUUCCCCCUUUUUAGAAGGUUGGUAUUAAUAGACCUUCUACUAUUCAUAGGGUCUAGUCUGGCCUUGAUGUUCCUGGACCACUCUAGGACAUGUCGGGCCGGGAAUGGGUCGACGGCGGACCUGGGGAUAUUCCUGGGCCGCUCUAUCAGGUCGGGUUGGGGUUUGGAAAUGACGAAUCUUAGGAUGCUCUGAGAGGCUGCUCUGGCAGGUAGGAGACAUCAUUCUUGCUCAGUCCGAUAAGCCUGAUCCGUUGAUAUUCUCGUUGGGCCACUCUAGUGGGCCGAGGAUAUCAUCAAGUACAUAGGUAUACUUCAGAUUUCAAAAAUCCUGAAGUCAUUUUACUUAAAUCUAUCUUUUUUUGAUAAACCCAAGAUUCUGUCACUCUCAAUUAUAUAUAUACAUAAUUUCUUUGAUCAGUUCAAGAAACGACUCAACAAAAACUUAUACUAAAUUAGGGAAAACUCCUUAUAGUUUUUUAACUCUAACGCUAACCCCAUUGUAUAUUAUAUUUUUAAUAACAGAAAUAAACCAUAUGUUAGAUAGACAGCUAGUCCUAUGUAAUGUGAAAGAUUUUAACAAAUAUAACUGGGUUUUUUUUUAUGUACCCAUUUUCAAUAAAUCAAAUGCAUGAAGUAUUACAAAUUUAAAAAUACUUUUCUUAAAUCCUUAAUGAAAUUUUUAUGGAUAAAAUCGAAAAUACCUUGUUGAUUUAUUGAAGCUGAAAAUUGAGAAGAUCGACAGUGGAGAAAAACUAAAAUAUACACGAGCUUGUGGUUGGUUGCUGAAACACAAACUGGCGCAAAUAAUAAUAUGCUCAAAAACUGAAUUGAGGAGAAGUUUAUUUCCCAGAAAAUUAGGCACCUCCAGACUAAAGCUUGAACCCUACCUCAACUUCAAUAACAACAAACAGAUGAAAAUAGCCAGAUGGGUAGGUAAGUAGGUUACCUUAUCCAUUGUUUGAUGAUGAAAUUUAGCAUAAACAAUUGUACUGAAUUUGUAGUGGGUAAAGAAUACUGAGUUGUAGUUAAAUAAAUGCACUAAAACUUAGGGAAGGUGGAGCCAUCCACAUAUCAUGCGUACUAAUUGAUUCUUGAUAAUAAGAAAUUUAGGGUUGAAAUAAAAAUCAAAGUAAUUGCAGGCAUGAAGAGAACUAGAGUUAUUGAAAAUAUUUAAUAUGUUUGGUGCUCCACGAGAGAAUAUUUGUGCAGACGAAUAAUUUCUUAUUAAUAUGUUUGGUGCUCGUGGAUCAAGGUGUACUUCGUCUAUUUAUAGAGAGAAUAAUUUCAAGAAAAAAUACAAUGGCAUCUAAAAUCCAAAUAGAUGAUAUCGAGUUGGGCGAACAUUCUCCAUCCCAAAUUCAGAUGGCUCAGGAGGAAGAGGCUCCUACAAACCUUGUUGCGUCGAAAAUGAUAAGCGGGGAGAUUAAGGAGGAGAAGCUAGUAUCGAAUGAGCUUAUCACAAAUGAUGUUGAUAUCGAGUUGGGCGAAUGUCCAUCUUGAACAUUCUCAAUCCGAAAUUCAAAUGGCUGAGGAGGAAGAGGCUCUUACAUACCUUGUUGCGCCAGAAGUUAUAAGCGGAGAGAUUAAGGAGGAGAAGUUAGUAUCGAAUGAGCUUAUCACAAAUGAUGCUGAUAUCGAGUUGGGCGAAUUUUCAUCAGACGUUCAACAUUCUCAAUCCGAAAUUCAAAUGGUUGAGGAGAAAGAGGCUGCUACAAAUCUUGUUGCGUCGAAAAUAAGCGGGGAGAUUAAGGAGGAGAAACUAGUAUCGAAUGAUGUGGUUGCUUCCAUAGUGAAUGAGCUUAUCACAAAUGAUGCUGAUAUCAACUACAUUGAAAAAUUACGAUCAACCGAGACGGUGACCAUGUGUAGAGUUCCGGAAGAGAUCGUUGGAGCUGAUGAUAAUGAUCGUGCUCAUUUUAAGCCCAAAGUUAUUUCCAUCGGCCCGUACCACUCUAAGAACGAAGCAUUCUAUCCCAUGCAAAGUCUCAAGCUCCAAUACCUCAAUGACCUGCUUCGACGAUCGAAAACCAAGAACAACAAAGUUGAAAAGUACACCAAGGCGAUCGAAAACCAGUUGGUUACUGAAAAAGCCAAGUACUGUGAGUUUGCUGCUUGUGGAAUCUCAGAUGCAGAGUUCUUGAAAUUGCUGGUGUUGGACGGUUGUUUCAUUGUGGAGUUUUUGUUGAAGUACGCUGAACCAUUCCGACGGCGAAAGAUUGCAACUAUGCUGGGAUCGAUAAGGUUUGAGAAAAAUGAGUGUCCGUACAAUAUGUUCUUUGACGCCAUAACGAUGUACAAUGGAAUGAAGGAGAUAAAUGCCAACUUCUUCACCGAGUUUGAGAACAUGUUGUUUUACGAACAAAUUAAUAUAUGGCUUCAAAAUAACGGAGAGGGAGUCGGAGAUUGGUUGGAUAGAUAAUUUUGACAUAUAUAUUUAUUCCGGAAAAUAUCAAAAAAAAUACAUAGAAAUAUUUUAAGAUUAUCAAGAAGACCCGACAGUAUUUCCAGCUACGCAGUGUACAUGAGUCAUUUUGUGAAAACAGAUGAGGAUGUAGAGGUGCUGAAACUUUACCGAAUGCUGAGAACGACCACCCAUGGACCGAAGGAAAUAGCGGAAUUCUUUGGGAAGCGCAGACCAUGGUUGCUGUUACAUGAAAAUGAGGUGAAAUUUCUUACUACACAGUUCGAAGCUAUCAACAGUUUUGUCAAUCGACCACUCAACAUAAGGAUCGCCAAACUAAAGAAGCGUUACUUCAAAAAGCCAGUAAUCAUAUUUUCUUUCAUUGACGUCAUAUUUCUUGUCGGUUUGGAUGUUGCGCAAAUCGUUUUAGAGGUAAUAAAAUAAAUAUCAAUGUACCUUUUAUUACAGUUGUGUGAAUAUUAUAUGUGUCAAGUUUAUUUUAAUUAUUAAAUCGAUUUUACGUCGUACAUACGUUAUUGUCUUAUACAUUCUAUUAUUUUAAUUAUUAGAUUAAAUAAUACUGAUUAUAAUUUGAUGACACACAACUACGCAUUCAAAGUUUGACACACCUGAAUAUUUCCGCGUAAAUAAACUAUAAAUUGUAAUGCUUAAUUUCAUCAUUAAAGUUUUUUUCUUACCUAAUUUAACAUUUUCAUUUAUUACACGACUCGAUUUAGUUCAGUUGUCAUUUUAAUUUUUAUCUUACACUAAAAAUCUGAUAAUAAACAAGAGCUUCAGAGGAAAAUAUCCACUCAUUCCAGCGAAGUGGGUACCGUCUUCAAUCCAAUCAUGUGUUCGGUGAUCUGUCUGCAAUCUAUCCUCGUCAUCUUCCACUACAUUCUACCAUUUAUUAAUUGUUCUGCGCACACAAUUCAGCAAAAAGGAGAAAAAACACAGACAUGACCAUGGCAAUGGCAAUGGGGAGCACACUUAUCAUUCUCGUCCUUCUGAUUUCCGCCGUCGAAGCUGGCAGCAAUUCGUCGACCGAGGGCGUUUACUCGGAGCUCCUUGCAGGAGGACGGUGUACCGGAAAAGUGGGAGAGUGCAAUGUACAAGAGACGGAAUGGGUUGUGGACUCUGAAAUCACCCGGAGAUUACUGAAAAGAAAAGAUAGAUAUAUUAGUAGCAUCGCUGUAAGAAAUAGUGGUAGUAGUGUAUUGAAGAGUAAACGAACACAUUCUUAUACAUGUGCCGGAACUUACAGAUGUAAACCCCAUCAUUAGAUCUGUAAUUCAAAUUUCGACAUGAUUCAUCUACAAUUAAAAUUGACAGACUGAUUCUCUGUGACACAAAAUGCCAAUUUAAAAGUUUAAAAUUGACAAACUUGAUAAUUGAUACCUGUCAGAGCUUCACCUUCCCGCUGGGCAUUGUUGCCUGUACUCGACGGAAGAAGGUCGUUUAGAGGUUUGAUUGGAGACAUACGUCAAAUUAAUAUUACUAUUGUUUGCGACAUAAAAUCUAUAGGUCUGUUUAAUCACUGUAAUGAUGAUUUUUUU